AUCCUUUCGAAUUUCAUUUAUCUAUUUGUUUUUUAAAAUUGUUCCCACCGGAUAAAAUUGAAAAAAUUUAUUUUUAAUAGACUUCCCCAUUUUCAAAUUUUGAAACUUCACGUGAAUCGUUUAAAUUUUUGUUCAUUUCUUAUUUCAAUUUGAAUUUUGUUGUUUAGUUUUUCAAUAGGGGGGCCUAAUCCUCCACUCCCUCCCUCCCGAGGGGCUGCGCCCCUCUGGGUCCCCUCCCGCCUCUCUUUGACUGCCAUUCUACGCAUACAAACGCACUUAUGCUUCCCGCACUUGUUGUGUAAUUAACUAUUUUCAAAGACGAUUCAGAUAACAAUUACGGAAGGUUCGGGAAAAAUUCCGUGAUUACUUCGUAACAUUUCCUUGAAUUGCCCUUCAUUCCGACGUUAAGGGGUUAUUCUCAUGUGAACGCCUAUAUUUUACCACUUUUUCGGAAUUUUUUUUUUAUGCGACAACAAACUUCAAUCAUGUUGAUUUUUCAAUAUAUUUUUAUUUGUAUUUUGAAAUAUCCGAAAAAAAAUUUUUUUUCGUUUUUUACAUUUUUAACAUAUAUUUUUUUAAAGUCAAAGUAGUCCCCAACAAAAAAAGGUAGUUCACUGGUCAAGGUGAUAACGGCUGUUCAUGUUGUCUGACAUAAAAAAAUCGAAUGGAUUAUUAUUCAGUAGAUCUGUGGCUAUCGUCCCUACCAAAUAUAAUCAAUUUCAUUGAAAACAAAAAAAAAUAUCGAACUUCAAAAAAAAAAUCACGAAAAUCUCCUUCUUUUUCGUUACAAAUCGUUUAAAAAAAAUAUGAAGAUAUUGUCGAAAAUAAACAAUUGUGGUAGGGACGAUAACUAUAAAUGAGUAGAAGAACAUAUGUAAAUUUUAAAGCAAUCGGUUGAAUACUUUUUCUUGUAGGACCUUGACCGUUUCAGAAAAUGAUGAUUCGAGAAAAACGCGUUUAAAGUUGAAAGCCUGGUAGACAAUCGCUUACGACACGUCGGCGACUAUGAGCUGUAACUUAUCAAAUACUAUGAAUUUCGGUCUGAAUUUUUCACAGCAUGUUUUCAAUAGGUUUUACUGUCAAAAUAUAAAAAAAAAAAAAUCGAUUUUUUGAAGUGCUCACAUGAGAAUAACCCCUUAAGGAAAAGGUACAUAAUUUUUACCAGUAAAAUAUCCCAUUAAUUUUGAUUGACAAUAAUAAUUUUAUAAAAAUUUAGGUAAACAACUCUUCCGUAUCAUCAUUCACCGAAAGUCACGAAACUUUUAUUAUUCAGUGAAAAGAGUAGUGAUAAUUUAUGAGGAGAAACAAGCAGAGGAAAAAGAAAUAUAAGGCAAUAACGAAUUGGUAUGGCAGACAGGCUGAGGAUUGAGGAGGUAUUUCCUUCCUCCUGAAGGUUCAUCGCUGGUUAAUGUAGCAACGGUGACAUACAGAUGUUAAUCAAUCACAAGUGAGGGUGUUGGUGGAUAAUCUUUGAAAUGUCAAGAGGAAAGAAAAAUGUGGGUCGUGUAUAAGGUUCGAUUUUCUGGGUCAAAUGAGCAUUAUUGAAUAAAGUAGUGGGAGAUAUGGUGUAACUUUGGGUUCGGCAACUGAUUAGAGUCAGUCAAUGUCAUUAUCGUUUGGCUUUGCACAACAGACUAGGGUCAUAAUGCAUCAGUUUUGUCAUGGUGAUGACUACACAGAUAUCUAUCCCUGACUCGAUAAUCGAUAUGGGCUUCGAUGAUUGAGAUGAGACAAAACUUGGAGGGAGGCCUUGGAGUAAUAAUUUGCGGGUGUAUGUGCAUCAGUGAGUUUCAGUGGCGUUAUCGAUGAUAUUCAGAACAAUAACGCCUGUCAGUAUUAACGCUGGGACCUGUGACACAGACUUUCCUAAUGUAGGUCUUUUGUCAAUGGGCUCAUUUCUGAGGAGAGAAAACUGGGACAUGGUUUUUGACGAGUACUACUUCCCUGAGACUUCCGACAAAAGUUUUGGAAUGAGGAAGAAGAGGAUUAUUCGAAUGGAACAGGUACAUCUCCAAAUUCUAGGAAUAUUGUUACAAGUCUUUUGUUGUAGCAAUGGAGUUUUCUGUGGAUUGAGCACGAGUUCUCUGUUCCUGAUAACUCAUUCGAUUUUUCGAUGUAAACGACUUCGAGGAGUAAGGCUAAUGAAAUUUAGAAAUAUUUGAUCUUAGUAAAAAGAUUUUAUAGAUUGACACUUCAUAAUCAUCGUGUAUUACUUUUGGACAAUCAAUUUUUAGAGGAUAUUAGAUAGAGUUUGGUUACUUGAUGAUCACGUUCAGACCAACAAUGUUUAGUUCAUUCCCUAAUUUUUAUCUGAAUCAUUUGUAAAAAAAUAGAAAAUACUACAACGUAUCUUUGUUAUUUAUGUAUAGGAUUUUCCUCUGAAGGUCGUUUUGAUGAGGUUUUCUCGUCGAAAGUAGUUUUUUUUCGGAAUCAUUCAGACAUAAACCCGCAUAAACACGUUCCAAUUCUAUAGAUACUAUUGAAAUGAUCGGUUAGUUCAUAAAAAAUAAGCCCGCAUGAAAAAGAUGUUAUGUGUAAUUUUGGAGAUAUAAAUUAGGUUUAAAAUUAAAGUAUAAAUUCCACUCAAAAUUAGAUAAAUGUUAACGUUUUUUGAAUUAGCCAAUUACGAUAUUUUUUCCGAAUGCUGCUUCCUUCACUCUGGUUAAUGACUGUGAGAAAAAAAACUUGUAUACGUAGAAUACGAUGUUAUUGCUUCUCAAUGGAGGCAUUAAAAUCGUCUGAACUUUCGAUUCUGGAAUUGUAUUUGAAAAUGACAUAAAAUGUUUUGAAAUGUAAGAAUACACAAUUUGUAGACCAUGUGGGGAUGAUCAUUUUUUUAUAAACUAAAUGAAUAAGUGACGGAGUCAAUUGUAAUAAACACUAAAUUUUGCGAAAACCACAUUACUAGAGGAUCUUGAUUAACCGAAUUUCGAGAUUCGAUUGUUUUUCAAUCGAUUUAUGAAAAUAAUCGAUGUUUGUACACGUCAUAUCCGGUUGAACCCCUAGAGUACUCUUUAUGCUAGUCCUUAUCUAUCCUAUAUAAAAAGUGACAUUGGUCACUAAUCGAACGUCGUGGAUUUCACGGCGAUAAUCGAUCAUUCGACAAUCGAUAAUCGAUUAGUGGAAAACUAAGGGCAAAAUUAAAAAUAAAAUCACAUUGUUACAUUGUAUAUGAGUAGACUGAUAUAUAGUAAAAAUAAGGUAAUUAGUGGAUGGUCGUUGAGGGCUGGACGGUUACCAAUUGGCGGUUAGCACAUUGUUCUCAUGAAGUAUGUCAUAAUCAAGAACUUCAAACUGUAUCGAUGGGUCUAUGCUGUUCACAGUGCAGUUAAAGUAGCUCUACCCGCUAAUUGCUACUUUACGGACGAGAUUCUCUAGUUUUGAACAUUUUUAGUUUGCAAAUUUUUACAAGUAAUUUCAUGAGUAAAAUUCCAAAGAAUUCAUAUAUAAUCAGGUCUAUUUGAAUUGCAUUAAAAAAAAUAUUGAUAUUUUUCUAAACAUUUCCUUUUUAUAACCAAAUAAUAUAAUGUGUUUCCCAAACGGUGAAUUAUCUCUCAUGAAGUGUCAAAAAACAUUUUGUGUUUGUACGGCUAAUGAUCACAAAUUCAGAUUUCAAUCUGUGAUUUUAACAGAGAUGUUAAUUUUUCCAUACAACACUCUGUUAAGUUGUAAUUUUUUACUUUAUUCUGAAAAACAGAAACGAUAAUUAAAUAUACCGUUUUUAAGUUGUAUUAUUAUUCAAUGGCUCACCAAUGGUUCCAUCACCCUCAAAGAAUUGUCCUACUUUCUCAGUAAUUUUUUGCAAAAUAUUAUAAAACACUGAAUAAUGACAAAACCUGCAAAACUGCAUAUUUUUUAAUGUCUACCAUGGAUUCAUGGUUUCAUUUAUAAAAAUUUAUAAAAAACAUUAAAAAAAAGAGGAAGGCACUAAUUCGUUAAUCUCUAUAAUCAGCAAUUAUGCAAAUGAUAGAAAUAAUCGGUUCCAAUAAAAUCUUUACUCAUCUAAAAUUCAGAUGAUUGUUAAUUAUAUUCAAAAGUUGCUUAAUGAUGGAAGAAUAUCUACAAUGAAUUAAGUUUCUAGUAAGAAGUCCUCGGUGAGAAAAAUAAUUUUGGUUCGUUCUCCUGCUUUAAUGCACUUAAGAACUGUAAUAAAUAAAUAUUUCCCUGACAAUUCAAAAAACCCUCAUCUCCAGUUGAACGUCGUUGAAACCCCGACCCAUUACGUUAAUGAAUACACGUGGCCGCGCUCAAAUGUUUACAUUACCCAGGCAACGUAUCCCUUAGCAGUAGCUUAGUUAUAUUAUUUUAGGACCUAACUAUGUCCACAUCUCCAAGACAACUUGACGAUGGUAUCUUAGUCAUAAUACAAUAUUUGUGUUUUGAGCUCAUUAAAUAAACUCACCACUUGCAAAAAUCGUGUCUCAACAACACACCAGGAUUUUUCAUUACAUGAAUCGUGGCUUCAGUUUCGGCAAAUCAAGAAACAAGAGGGCUAUCCUUGAGAAUAUACAAGAGUAUAUUCAACAACCAACAACAAUGGGAAACAAUGUGUCCCAUUUGAAACAAUCCACCUAAAUAUCUCUUAACGGGGGCAAGUGUCAGGAAACAUUGUGAGUCAUUAGUUGUAGGAUUUCGAGGGGGAUAUUUGAUGCAAGCAUUUUUUUUAGCUUUCAAGGUCAUGCUUGCUAGCUGCCACCAUAGGGAGCUUUUUAUAAAAUGGCAUUUUUCACUCCAAUGAAAAUUGUUCCCCUUGACGAUUGCUUUUCAGAUACCUCAUCAUUCAUGUCAAUUCCUACGUUUCGACUCAGAGAAUACAACGAAAGUGAGUGAUAACAAACUACUAAUUGUUAACGUUGAUGCGCGAAAAGAACCUUCGGAUAAAAAUUAGACCUCUAGAGGGCGAAAAGUUGGAAGAAAUGACAAUCAAUCACAUUUUAGUUUAAGUUUUGUUGGAAAAUUUAGACUUAAAAGGCUAAUCUCUUUCUUCGACAAAACUAACUUUCGUUUUUGUUUCACCCCCUGGAGGUCUAAUUUUUACCUAAAAUUUAUUUCCGUGUAAUAAUAAUUAUUAUUACUAUUAUUAUUUAAACUUAUUGUGAUUUUUAUUAUUGUCAUUUCACUCUUGGUUGAACCUCACUGGCCAAGGCUCGGGUUACUGAUGCUUGGCUGAGCCUUGGGCCCGAUCCGCCAGCCAAAUCCAAAGAGUCGAGUAACAUUACGUUAAACCACUGAAACUUACUUUUACUUCGAGAAAUACUCAAUUGUUUUUCAUUUCGACUCUCAAUUAUCUUUUAUUAUAUCAACCAAAAGGAAUAGCACUAUUAUAUGAUAUCUUGAUCAAAGAAUAAGAAUAAAUAAUAUUGUGCAGUAUUCAUUAAAGACUUAAUUAAAAAUCAGUCAAUUUCUUUUUCUUUAACAAAAAAUUGGAUUAUACAAGUAGCUCUAUGUCAAGCAAACAUUAAGGAGUUGUUAAGAAAUCUAUUAAGCCGUUAAAAACCUGUAAUAUAUUAACCAGAAAGAUCUGAAAAAUCAGAACCUGAAAUAUAUUGGCUUGUUGUAAAAUAUAUACGGUGAUUAAGCACAAGAUGAAAUUUACGCUAGAGCGGAAAAUCAUUCCGCAAUUAACAUCCUAACAAUCAUUUUGAAUAUGUCGAGUGGUAUCAAUUUGACUGCUUGAGUGCACUACAAAUUUCGGGCAUUACAAAUGGAUUUAAUCAAAAAACUAUUCUAGUUUUUUAAUGAAUCAAUCGAUUCCUGGAGACCGCCAGCUUUCAAUCCAAAAUCGAUUAGUAUAAAACGGCAAAUAUGACGUACUAAUGUUUUAAUGAACGUUUAUUACGUUUAUUUCGCGAAUCGAAUCGAAAAUAUCCCAAUUCUGUCACACCAGUUCCUCACCGGUUGAUAUUUUUGGCGGGAAAUUCGAAGUUGGUAGGAACUAACGGCGCAUGCCGGCGCGCCAAUCGCACUCUAAUUUUCAAAAAUCGAUAAAAGAAAAUCGAUUCAUCGAGCAGCCCGCCAAAUCUCGAAGGAUAAUAUUGCACAUUCUCCUUCCCUCAUUAUUGCGAUGAAUAGUGAUGAAUGUCGCAAGAGAUUGAUCCUGGUUUCAAUGAACAUGAAAAAUUUUGCCUGCGAUUUCUUUCCCAUUUUGCUAUUUUUUAAAUGUGAAAAACUAAGAUGCAAUAGAUGACAGCGAAAUCAUUGGAACAGGAAACACUAUUUCGAAGUUGGAGAUUGACUCAACGUGAAAAAACUUCGAGCGAAUCGAGGCCGAGACAAUCUCUAAAUCGUUUUUUAACAUUAUUUAUUUAUAGUGAUGAAACCUACACUGGAAGUGAUUUAAACUGUCAUUAUGGUACACCUACAUUUAUUUUGUUUUUCCUGCGAAACAUAAUGUGCUAUAUUUGUAUUUCACAGUUUUUAAAUAUCAACAAAUUUCUGUGAACCUAUGGUGUUGAGAGUGCUUGCUAUGUGUGGACAAAAAUGAAUCACGUGUCUAUAACUGCUUUCAGUCCAUCUCAGUAUGUUAUAUUUUUAUAGUUUUUCUCCAAACGGUACCGAAAUGUUUAGAAUGGUUUUGCUAAAUAGAACCAGAGAAGAAACAGAAGGAAUUAAUGAACAAGGGCCUUUUGUCAAAUGGGUCUAGAGGGUGAAAUCUUUGGUUACUAAGAGUCAGUUGAUCUGGAGAGAUCAUACCAGAAAGAUAUACCUUCUGCGUGCGAUAAUAAAUAAUUAAAGUUGAUAGUUAAAUCGUUUUUAUAUUAUUGAGACAAUCCCUAUCCAUAAUCCAAUAUAUGGUUAUAUGCGCCGUCGAUUUUUUUUGUCGACUAAGAUCUGGUGCAGUUCGUUUUCCCCAGUUUGUAACAAAGAUCUGACCGUUGUUGAUUGUAUUUUGGAGAGUGCCAUCGAAUGGGGUCUACGUCUUGAACUUCAGUUCCACAUGUGCAGCUUAGAUCACCAAUUAUCCCGACUGUUCUCUUCACAGCUAUUGUCUUCUGUCUCUCGUAGCAUCAUUGACAAGUAAAAGCAACUCUAAUUGUGCAAAAGUUCCGAUUCUUCCGAUAAAAUGUAUUAAAUAGGAAAUUAAUAACUUUCACUAUUCAAUUAAAUGUCACCAUCUUUAUUCCGAGUUGGUCAUAUGCAAUUUUUAGGAAAAAUCACCUUGAAAGACUACUGGCUUGAAAUCCCGUGUGCUUUCCUCGAGAGACAGUUUGAGAGUGCCUCCGCCCUCGGUUCAUCCAGGGUGAGAGGUCCGACACAAAGACAAGGCCCUUUUGUCCUUUGGGUUAUCCACAUGUGUUGGGCUGUUUCGGUCAUAAACGACCGAAAUGUGUUUCCGCACUUCCCGGAGACGUUUACAAUGGGUCGCUCGAUUGGGUUCCAAUUUCAACAAUAUUCCCCACAAUCUCAAAAAAAUAUAGGUGUAGAACCCUGCUAAAUAUGAUACUAUUACAAGUACUUGAACCAUUUAUUUUACCCUGUUCGUCAUUAAAUUUUGCAUGAAUUCAAUGAAUUUUAAAUAAAA